rnacentral:tRNA from 2 species
GUGGUCUUAGCUCAGUUGGCAGAGCGCCAGAUUGUGGCUCUGGAGGUCAAGGGUUCGACCCCCUUAGAUCACCCCA